rnacentral:lncRNA from 1 species
CAACCAAGUCAUUACCUGAAAACAAAGCCACAAGCAACGCUGAGUAUACUAAUACUCAACAAGACUUACCUGUCAGGUGGUACCUAAUCCACCGACUCCUAAACAUGCAAGGUUUUUUAGCUGAGGGGUUUGUUUUUGCCAAAGCUUCUAAAGUGGAUCCUUACUUUCAAAUUUUAGCAUCAAAUUCUUGUUGAUUAACCAUUCUAGGUAAGAACCUAUUCUAAACAAGCAUGGUAGAACAAGCAAUUUAAUCAAGCAUCAAUAUUAAUCAUCAUCCUUGUUCACCUUCUUACUCAAUGCAGGAAAAGAGGUCAAGCAGUCCCAAACUGUGAGAAGCAGAUGAUUCGAAUCGGAUUUCUUAACCUUGCAAGGUGGACCUAAACCCCAUGACAUAUGCGUACCACACUGGGUCCACACAUGUUAGCCAUCCCUAUCAAUCCCCAGCACGUGUACAGAUCCCACUUCCCUUGGAAUACAAUGCCCCAACAGUCCCGGAACGGCACCGUACCGAGGCUGCACUUGUACCCACAUGAGACCUCAUGGGAACCCAGUUCCAGAGAGAGCGGUGAGUAUGUCCACGUCCCAGUUCAAUUAGGUACUAGGCUUUCCCAUCCCAUACUAGGUAUGAGUUUAGUACUUUCAAACACUUGACCAAGACUCCCACCCGUUUCGACCUUAGCAGUUUUUCCUCUAUACAGACGGGGCAUCAACCAUCUCAGAGUGGAGUACCAAGCCCUGCCCAUCAACCUUACGAUUCCAACAUAAGUAAACAUGCAACUCCUAUAGCUCGCGGGUGAUAGGAAAUCACUCAACUUUUACCGAGUCCUUAUUUAGCAUUGCAACUACUCGUCUUAACAUACUAGUAUUCAGCACAUAGGUACCUCGGUUCAUGCAACUACGGUUUUAAGGAACGCCUAUAAACUUAAUGCACAAACAUAAGUAACAUAAGUAGUGCGUAAAUUUUAGAAACCAAGGUUAUGCUCCGAGGCUUGCCUUCUUGCCCUAAAUCAGCCUUGGGCUCUUCCGAACUUUGGUUUGGGCCUUGGUUCAUCUCGAUUACAUUCAGCUCAGCAAGAGGGUGUCUUUCUUCGCGUCCUGGGCCGAGCUCAUACGUUCCGUCAGCCAGGUUAGUUUCUACACGAGAUGCAUAUGCAUAAGAUUUCAUUUAUAAUCUUCCAUGAUGUAGAUUGCAUUUCAUAAAUAUUGUAAAAGCUCGCGGUGCAUUUCGACCACAUUCACCUAGACAAGUUUAUAAACAUUUCUUUUCUUCAUACAACAAGUUUGGAUCGAAUGGCUUUUAUUUUGAUGGUGAUUGUGUACACAUAUAAGAUUUUAAUAACUUAGAAUUCAUCAAAGAAAGGUGGUGGUCGUUCUGGUGUUGUUCAUCAUUUAUUUGGAAAGUUAUCCUGUUUCUGAGUUUUUAAACAACAAAACUAAGCAUUCACUAUUUUACCCUUAUGCAUUUAACUAGCUAUUAAACUUGAAUAAAUACUUCUGGAAGCAUCUAGUAAGAUAGGGUUCUGCAAUUUUUGUAGAAGCUUCAUUAACACUAACAGAGGCUACUAUAAAUUUUCCAAGAUUUAUUGAGCAUAAAAACUAUUUAUCACAUUUUAAGUAUAUUAAACCACAUGCAUUUAUUUAAACAAGGUAAAACUCCCGUCUUACAGAAGCUAUUAUUCUUCCUAAUUAGACAUAUGCAUAAGGAAACUUAUCUUGCCUUUUUAUCCAUUUUCCUCUAUUUAAGGUGCAAAUAACAAGAUUCAACUAGCAUUUAGGCAUUUGAACCUAAAACAACAUGAACAUCACCUAGACCAGUAGCACAAGUUUUAGAUCAUGAACAUGCAUGCCACAAGAGAACUAACAAAAGUGGUUUCACAAUUUUUAGAGCACUAUAUGAUUUAUAAAGCAUUUAAUGGCUUUUGGACUAAUUAAAUCAUAUCACCAAAUAUAAAAUAGUAACAUGCACAAUAAAUAUUUUUGAAAUAAACUAGAUGUCACUAGGAACCCAACAAAAUAAGUUUGACAUUUUCACAAUUUGUCUACACUUUUCUAUGCCUUUUCAAAGUUUGCAGCUAUUUAAUCCUAGGAAUAAACAAAACCGAUUUCAAAACAGCCCUUAGAUCUAAAGAGUUCUCGCACAUAGGUCCCUGCACUUUUCCCAUAACCCCUUCUCCUUUUCCCUUCUUCUCCAACCAGAACCUUUCACGCACCAGAACAGAAACACGCACGGUGGAGCACGGGACUUGGCCGUGUCGUGGCCUUGGUUCAGGCUGGCGGCAACAGGGGGAGAUGGCGCGGCAGGAAGAGGGACGGGGCGGCACCUUGGGCAGGGGGUGCUCACCAGAAGGGGCGCAGCGAUGAGGAGGGGCGGCGCCACUGGGGUUUCACAACAACCAGAAGGGGCGGAUGGGGUCACCGUGGGGAGGACUGUCCGGCGAGGAAGGGCGGCCAGGAAGUGGAAAACGGAGGCGCGGCGGAAUGAGGAAGCUCCUAGCGCGAGGAAUCGGCCGGUGGCUGACCGACAGCGACGAAUUUCGCCAGUGAAGAUGGGGAAUUUUGGAGGUGGCAGU